rnacentral:rRNA from 1 species
GACGAAGGGGGCUAGCGUUGUUCGGAAUUACUGGGCGUAAAGCGUGCGCAGGCGGUUUCUUAAGUCAGAUGUGAAAGCCCCGGGCUUAACCUGGGAACUGCGUUUGAAACUGGGAGACUUGAGUGUGGCAGAGGGGGGUGGAAUUCCACGUGUAGCAGUGAAAUGCGUAGAUAUGUGGAGGAACACCGAUGGCGAAGGCAAUCCCCUGGACCUGUACUGACGCUCAUGCACGAAAGCGUGGGGAGCAAACAGG